rnacentral:rRNA from 1 species
UACGUAGGGGGCGAGCGUUGUCCGGAGUUACUGGGCGUAAAGGGCACGCAGGCGGUGCGGCGCGUUUCGCGUGACAGCGGAGGGCUUAACUCUCCGAGGAUGCGAAAGACGGCGGCACUUGAGGGCCAGAGAGGGACACGGAAUUCCGGGUGGAGUGGUGAAAUGCGUAGAGAUCCGGAGGAACACCAGCGGCGAAGGCGGCAUCCUGGACUGGUCCUGACACUCAGGAGCGAAAGCGUGGGGAGCGAUCCGG